CUAACACAUGCAAGUCGAGCGGAAACGAUCCUAGCUUGCUAGGAGGCGUCGAGCGGCGGACGGGUKAGUAACGCGUGAGAAUCUGCCCAUUUGUGGGGGAUAACUUGGGGAAACCCAAGCUAAUACCGCAUACUCCCUACGGGGGAAAGSAGGGGACCUUSGGGCCUUGUGCAMAUGGAUGAGCUCGCGUCGGAUUAGCUUGWUGGUGAGGUAAAGGCUCACCAAGGCGACUAUCCG
rnacentral:rRNA from 1 species